rnacentral:lncRNA from 1 species
AUUGGUCUGGAGACAGACAGAUCGCACCUGCAUUUACAGAAGCAAAUGGAGAAUGUCCUACGUCUACCACACCUCUCACACACACUUGCUCCGCCCCGCCCUAGUUAUCUGUGCCUAACUUGGAGAGUCCUCUACGGAAGUCAUGGAGGUCGUCGAUCUUUCCAUCCAGCACCUCAAGGAAGCUCUUCAGCUCCCCCUUCAGGUGGCGCUGUCGGUAUUUACUCUCCUCGAUGUCUGUCUUUAGAGACCGCACUUUGUCUUCCAAGUUUUGAUUGUCUCUUUCGGCCGCCUGAUGAGACAAAAGGGAGAAGGAUCUAGAAGGCAGUGACGGAUGGAACCAUCAUGAAAACGGCUGAACCCUGACAAACGCUCACCACUCAAGUCAGAAAGGGGGCCACCUGGUACUUUCCCUAGAGAAGGAUUAGAAGGUCAAGAGGACUGGAGUGAGGAAUCCAUUGGAGGAGGAGAAGAAAACCCCUCGCUUUAUAGAUGGUAACGAGGAAGGCCGAUCUACAGUCAGCACUCUAGCAAGAGCUGGAAGAGGCCAAGGUGGGCUUAUACCUGACCCUGUCUGGACACCAGGGCGACUCCGUGCCCCUCCUCACUGGCUGUGGUUCUGCAGGGGUUUCCUGUGAGUAAGAAACUAUCACCCACACUCUGGCUGUGCACAGAACCUUUGUGUAAGUUGGUGAGGCAGCACCCCCCUUCACCCCCCGGUGCUCUGCCAUUACUAGCAGUUCAUAAGCAGAAACCCACCCUUGACCAUGUGUGAACACGAGAGGGAAUGGAGGAGUUCGGGCCAGGCCUCAGGACCUCAGGACCACUGCACACCCUUACCUCUAACUUCUCAGAGACAUAUUCACACUCGGACAUGAGCUGAGGUGCACCAACCCCAGGACCUAAACCAUCUGUCCCAGCUGACACCGAGUCCAGCUUCUACCUCCAGCCUGGGAAUCAAGUUCCUGAAGAGCUCCUCUGAGGGAGGCCCACGCCCUCCUGAGGAGCCCGCUCUGGGCAAUGCUAGCCCACACCUCAGCAUUGCCUUUGGCUAACACACUCAGACCAGAGGGAGAGAUUCCAUCCUUUGCUGGAAAAGGAGAAGCAAUCGAUCCCUCCGGCAGGCAGGAUCAGCCAGAGCUCAGACAAGAACAUGCAGAGUCAGCAGCUGACCUGAUGCCCUGGCUGUCAGCACACUCAUCAUAGGGAUGGAAAAUAAAAAUGACAAGAGGCAGCUCUGUGGGCAGUCAGUGCCGGAGGAAGGUGGUGACGUGGGGCCACACCACAGUGGCUCUGCCUGGGCCAGUCAGGGCAAGGGAUAUAUUCCCUUCCUUAUCCUGGAGAGCCCAAGCCACAGAGAUGCCGUGGGAAGCCCACCUUCAGCAGGAGGCCAGCCUAGCGGGGGGAUGGGGGGGACCCUUGAUAGGAUUUCUGGCUC